rnacentral:rRNA from 1 species
AAGGCAGCUGGCGAGGCCGCGGCUGACGCUGAGGCACGAAAGCGUGGGGAUCAAACAGGAUUAGAUACCCUGGUAGUCCACGCAGUAAACGAUGGGGACUUGUUGUCGGCGAUAGAUAGUCGGUGACAAAGCGAAAGCGAUAAGUCCCCCACCUGGGGAGUACGAUCGCAAGGUUGAAACUCAAAGGAAUUGACGGGGGCCCGCACAAGCGGAGGAGCAUGUGGUUUAAUUCGAUGAUACGCGAGGAACCUUACCUGGACUCAAAUGUUGGAUGACCGCCCCAGAGAUGGGGUUUCCCUUCGGGGCGUCCAGCAAGGUGCUGCAUGGUUGUCGUCAGCUCGUGCCGUGAGGUGUCAGGUUAAGUCCUAUAACGAGCGCAACCCCUACGCCCAGUUGCCAGCGGGUAGAGCCGGGGACUCUGGGGGAACUGCCCACGCAAGUGGAGAGGAAGGUGGGGAUGACGUCAAAUCAGCACGGCCCUUACGUCCAGGGCGACACACGUGGACGGGCGGUGUGUACAAAGGGCAGCCACCUGGCGACAGGGAGAGAAUCUAGAAAGCCGGUCUCAGUUAGGAUCGGAGUCUGCAACCGGACUCCGUG